AGGUUAAGCUAGUAAGAGCACACGGAGGAUGCCUAGGCACCAGGAGCCGAUGAAGGACGUGGCGAACAACGAAAUGCCUCGGGGAGCUGUAAGCAAGCAUUGAUCCGGGGAUGUCCGAAUGGGGAAACCCGGCUGUCGUAAUAGGCAGUCACGCAUAUCUGAAUACAUAGGAUAUGUUGAGGCAUACGAGGGGAACUGAAACAUCUAAGUACCCUCAGGAAGAGAAAACAAUAGUGAUUCCGUCAGUAGCGGCGAGCGAACGCGGAAGAGCCUAAACCAAGGAGCUUGCUCCUUGGGGUUGUGGGACGUCUCACAUGGAGUCAGAAAGGUGUUUAUUAGACGAAGAGGUCUGGAAAGGCCCGCCAUAGAAGGUAAUAGCCCUGUAAUCGAAAGUAAAUGCCCUCCGAGACGGAUCCCGAGUACCGCGGGACACGUGAAACCCCGUGGGAAUCUGGCAGGACCAUCUGCUAAGGCUAAAUACUCCCUGGUGACCGAUAGUGAAGCAGUACCGUGAGGGAAAGGUGAAAAGCACCCCGGAAGGGGAGUGAAAUAGAACCUGAAACCGUGUGCUUACAAGAAGUCAGAGCCCUAUACAUGGGUGAUGGCGUGCCUUUUGUAGAAUGAACCGGCGAGUUACGUUUGCGUGCAAGGUUAAGGUGAAGAGCUGGAGCCGAAGCGAAAGCGAGUCUGAAUAGGGCGAAUAAGUACGUAGGCGUAGACCCGAAACCGUGUGAUCUACCCCUGUCCAGGGUGAAGGUGCGGUAACACGCACUGGAGGCCCGAACCCACGCACGUUGAAAAGUGCGGGGAUGAGGUGGGGGUAGCGGAGAAAUUCCAAUCGAACUCGGAGAUAGCUGGUUCUCCCCGAAAUAGCUUUAGGGCUAGCCUCGGAGUAAAGAGUCAUGGAGGUAGAGCACUGAUUGGAUGCGGGGCCCGCCAAGGGUUACCAAGUUCAGUCAAACUCCGAAUGCCAUCGACUUAUAUCCGGGAGUCAGACAGUGGGUGCUAAGGUCCAUUGUCAAGAGGGAAACAGCCCAGACCAUCAGCUAAGGCCCCUAAAUGUAUGUUAAGUGGGAAAGGAUGUGGAGUUGCCCAGACAACCAGGAUGUUGGCUUAGAAGCAGCCAUCAUUUAAAGAGUGCGUAAUAGCUCACUGGUCGAGUGACUCUGCGCCGAAAAUGUAACGGGGCUAAACAUACUGCCGAAGCUAUGGAUUGAUACUAAUGUAUCAGUGGUAGGGGAGCGUUGUGUACUGGNNNNNNNNNNNNNNNNNNNNNNNNNNNNNNNNNNNNNNNNNNNNNNNNNNNNNNNNNNNNNNNNNNNNNNNNNNNNNNNNNNNNNNNNNNNNNNNNAUAAGGCUAGGCUGUGAUGGGGAGGGAAAAUUACAGUACCGAAGGUCUUGAUUUCAUGCUGCCAAGAAAAGCCUCUAGCCAGGUGAAGGUGCCCGUACCGUAAACCGACACAGGUAGGUGAGAAGAGAAUUCUAAGGCGCGCGGAAGAACUCUCGUUAAGGAACUCGGCAAAAUGACCCCGUAACUUCGGGAGAAGGGGUGCCUCGGUAGGGUGAAUAGCCCGAGGGGGCCGCAGUGAAAAGGCCCAAGCGACUGUUUAGCAAAAACACAGGUCUGUGCGAAGCCGCAAGGCGAAGUAUACGGGCUGACGCCUGCCCGGUGCUGGAAGGUUAAGGGGAGUGGUUAGCCGCAAGGCGAAGCUAUGAACCGAAGCCCCAGUAAACGGCGGCCGUAACUAUAACGGUCCUAAGGUAGCGAAAUUCCUUGUCAGGUAAAUUCUGACCCGCACGAAUGGCGUAACGACUUGGGCGCUGUCUCAACGAGAGAUCCGGUGAAAUUUUAAUACCUGUGAAGAUGCAGGUUACCCGCGACAAGACGGAAAGACCCCAUGGAGCUUUACUACAGCUUGAUAUUGGACUUUGGUACGGACUGUACAGGAUAGGUGGGAGCCUGAGAAGCCUGAGCGCCAGCUUAGGUGGAGGCGCCGUUGGGAUACCACCCUGUUCGUAUCGGAGUUCUAACCUAGGACCGUGAUCCGGUUCGGGGACAGUGUCAGGUGGGUAGUUUGACUGGGGCGGUCGCCUCCUAAAGAGUAACGGAGGCGCCCCAAGGUUCCCUCAGAAUGGUUGGAAAUCAUUCGAAGAGUGCAAAGGCAUAAGGGAGCUUGACUGCGAGACCUACAAGUCGAGCAGGGACGAAAGUCGGGCUUAGUGAUCCGGUGGUUCCGCAUGGAAGGGCCAUCGCUCAACGGAUAAAAGCUACCCUGGGGAUAACAGGCUUAUCUCCCCCAAGAGUCCACAUCGACGGGGAGGUUUGGCACCUCGAUGUCGGCUCAUCGCAUCCUGGGGCUGAAGUAGGUCCCAAGGGUUGGGCUGUUCGCCCAUUAAAGCGGUACGCGAGCUGGGUUCAGAACGUCGUGAGACAGUUCGGUCCCUAUCUGUCGCGGGCGUAGGAAAUUUGAGAGGAGCUGUCCUUAGUACGAGAGGACCGGGAUGGACGCACCGCUGGUGUACCAGUUGUUCCGCCAGGAGCAUAGCUGGGUAGCUAUGUGCGGAAGGGAUAAGCGCUGAAAGCAUCUAAGCGUGAAGCCCCCCUCAAGAUGAGAUUUCCCAAUU
rnacentral:rRNA from 1 species